rnacentral:rRNA from 1 species
AAUGAACGUUGGCGGCGUGGAUUAGGCAUGCAAGUCGCGCGAGAAGUUUCCUUCGGGAGACGGACAGCGGCGGAAGGGAGAGGAAUAAGUAGAAAUCUGCCCUCGGGACGGGGAUAGCGGCGGGAAACUGCCGGUAAUACCCGAUAACAUCUUUGGAUCAAAUGGUGUGAUUCCGCCUGAGGAUGAGUCUACUUCCUAUUAGCUAGUUGGUGUGGUAAUGGCUCACCAAGGCAACGAUGGGUAGCGGGUGUGAGAGCACGAUCCGCCUCACUGGGACUGAGACACUGCCCAGACACCUACGGGUGGCUGCAGUCGAGAAUCUUCGGCAAUGGGGGAAACCCUGACCGAGCGACGCCGCGUGCGGGAUGAAGGCCCUCGGGUUGUAAACCGCUGUCGUAAGGGAACAAAUCUAAGAGGGUACUCCCUUUUAGUUGAGUGAUCUUAGGAGGAAGGACGGGCUAAGUUCGUGCCAGCAGCCGCGGUAAUGUACAGUGU